GAGCGGCGAACGGGUGAGUAACACGUGAGUAACCUGCCCCUGACUCUGGGAUAAGCCUGGGAAACUGGGUCUAAUACCGGAUAUGACAUUUACCCGCAUGGANGGGGUGUGGAAAGUUUUUUCGGUUGGGGAUGGGCUCGCGGCCUAUCAGCUUGUUGGUGGGGUAGUGGCCUACCAAGGCGACGACGGGUAGCCGGCCUGAGAGGGCGACCGGCCACACUGGGACUGAGACACGGCCCAGACUCCUACGGGAGGCAGCAGUGGGGAAUAUUGCGCAAUGGGCGGAAGCCUGACGCAGCGACGCCGCGUGGGGGAUGACGGCCUUCGGGUUGUAAACCUCUUUCAGCAGGGACGAAGUUGACGUGUACCUGUAGAAGAAGCGCCGGCUAACUACGUGCCAGCAGCCGCGGUAAUACGUAGGGCGCAAGCGUUGUCCGGAAUUAUUGGGCGUAAAGAGCUCGUAGGUGGCUUGUUGCGUCUGCCGUGAAAGCCCGUGGCUUAACUGCGGGUCUGCGGUGGAUACGGGCAGGCUAGAGGCUGGUAGGGGCAAGCGGAAUUNCCU
rnacentral:rRNA from 1 species